AUUGAACGCUGGCGGCAGGCCUAACACAUGCAAGUCGAGCGGAUGAAGGGAGCUUGCUCCUGGAUUCAGCGGCGGACGGGUGAGUAAUGCCUAGGAAUCUGCCUGGUAGUGGGGGAUAACGUCCGGAAACGGGCGCUAAUACCGCAUACGUCCUGAGAGAGAAAGUAGGGGAUCUUCGGACCUCACGCUAUCAGAUGAGCCUAGGUCGGAUUAGCUAGUUGGUGGGGUAAAGGCCUACCAAGGCGACGAUCCGUAACUGGUCUGAGAGGAUGAUCAGUCACACUGGAACUGAGACACGGUCCAGACUCCUACGGGAGGCAGCAGUGGGGAAUAUUGGACAAUGGGCGAAAGCCUGAUCCAGCCAUGCCGCGUGUGUGAAGAAGGUCUUCGGAUUGUAAAGCACUUUAAGUUGGGAGGAAGGGCAGUAAGUUAAUACCUUGCUGUUUUGACGUUACCAACAGAAUAAGCACCGGCUAACUUCGUG
rnacentral:rRNA from 1 species